rnacentral:rRNA from 1 species
UACCAGUAUCCCGAGCGGUCGGGACGAUUAUUGGGCCUAAAGCAUCCGUAGCCGGUCCUGCAAGUCUUCCGUUAAAUCCAGCUGCUCAACAGAUGGGCUGCGGGAGAUACUACAGGGCUAGGAGGCGGGAGAGGCAAGCGGUACUUUAUGGGUAGGGGUAAAAUCCGCUGAUCCAUAGAAGACCACCAGUGGCGAAGGCGGCUUGCCAGAACGCGCUCGACGGUGAGGGAUGAAAGCUGGGGGAGCAAACCGG